AUGGCAACCCACUCCAGUGUUCUUGCCUGGAGAAUCCCAGGGACGGGGGAGCCUGGUGGGCUGCUGUCUAUGGGAUCGCAGAGUUGGACACGACUGAAGCGACUUAGCAGCAGCAGCAGCAGCGGCUCUAUAGUCUACAAAAGAUCUGGUGGUGGCAGUGCCUGGAAUGGUGGCGGAAAGUAUAUUCCAGACCAAGAGAUGAAGAGGUCAUCUUUCAACCCUGAGAUCCUAAAGAUGAUGGAGUCAAAGAAAACAGAAGGCUGGAUCUUGACACCCUUGAGAAGUUGUAUUAACUCCUAGGUACUGGUAACACAAGCAGAAAAUGAAAUUUAAAAUAAAAUCACUUAUGACAAAACCCA
ensembl:lncRNA